rnacentral:rRNA from 1 species
UACGAAGGGGGCUAGCGUUGUUCGGAAUUACUGGGCGUAAAGCGCACGUAGGCGGAUUUGUAAGUCAGGGGUGAAAGCCCGGGGCUCAACUCCGGAAUUGCCUUUAAGACUGCAUCGCUAGAAUUGUGGAGAGGUAAGUGGAAUUCCGAGUGUAGAGGUGAAAUUCGUAGAUAUUCGGAAGAACACCAGUGGCGAAGGCGACUUACUGGACACAUAUUGACGCUGAGGUGCGAAAGCGUGGGGAGCAAACAGG